GUCCAGCAUGGCCUCUUGUUCCUCCCAAUGCCUGCCCAGCAAGGAGCAGAGACCCGGAGGCAGAGGGGGACGGGCAAGUCCACCAGACGAGCGUGGGCUUCUCCUGGGUGCCAUGGCGUUCUGAGGACUGAGGUGCGACUUCUACACCAAAACCCCACCACCUGAAGUGGACAGUUCAAUGAGCUUUGACAGACGCACGGAGCCACCAAAGCACACCACGGUCAGGCCGGAGAAAGCCACACUGAAGCAAGGGACAUGUUGGUGGUAACGUUUUGUAGAACAGUUGAUGGCUCUGGAAAUCCUGCGCGGGACAUUCCAUGAGACAUCUAGGAUGACUUUUGGCCACAUAUCUGGAUGCAUGGGACAGUCGAAUUGACGCAUGGAACCAACUGUCACGCUGCCACAUGACGGUCGUGCUCUUGACAGGCACCCAGCAGGUGGAUGCUGAGAGGUGACCUUGGUGACUACCUUGGCAGAGACCCAGGCCUUGUGAGCCCACCUGUCUUCCACAGGGCCCAUCCUCCUUUCCUGCCACAAGCCAUCCUCACCGCGUCCAAUCUACCCAGAAAUAACGCUGCGGCAGCCUCCAAGACACAGGGUGGCUUUGACCUGCUGUGUGCUGAGCACCAUCCAGGCUGGUGGGGUGUCACCCUCUCACCACGGCUUGCCCCCCAGGGUUUCUGGACAUGGUUCUUUUUCUGAUCAUUCUUUCAGAGGCUGACAGCUGGAUCUCUCUCUUCCCCCCUCCCCCGUCCCCAACCUCCCACACAGAAUGUCCCUUCAUUAGAUGUCCAUUCUCAGGGACAAUUCUGUCUUCUCUAAGGAGCUCAGUUUCAAAUACAUGAAGUGCUCAGAAAGCUGAGUCUGUCAGUUGCUGGACAAGCAGUGGUGACCACAGCCUUUGCCACAGGAUGCCAAUGGGUGAGGACGGUGGCACUGGCUAGCACAUGACCCACCCCAAGGGGGAGCCUGCCAUGCAUCACUGGGGUCCCUUCUUCUCAUGCUUCAAAAAAAGCCAGAAAAUCAUUUUGUUUUCUGAAAAGUCUGAAAUCUUUCAUUUAAAAACGUGGAUAAGCCAAGCACAGUGGUGUGUGUCUGUGAGCCAGAUAGUUGGAAAGCUGAGGCAGGAGGAUUGCAAGUUUGAGGCCAUCCUGGGAAGCUUAGUGAGACCCUGUCUCCCAAAACAAAAACAAAACAAAACAAAACAAAAAAUAGGGAUGUAGCUCAAGGUUCAAUUCCAGUACUGAGGGGGAAAAAAUGAAGAGAAAACCAAAUUUAAAAUACUCUAAGGGCAAAAUAUAACAUUAUGGGAAAAAUAUAAUAUGUCUGCCUGAGCUGAUCCCUUGGCUGUCAGUCUUAGACUUCUACUUAGAAUCACUUGUAAUCACGCUUGUAAAAAGAUCAUGUGUGUGUGUGUGUGUGUGUGUGUGCACGCACACACGUGCACUUGAGGGGGUAAUGAAAUCUUUUCCUUCUUUACAGACAGAAUGUCCUUUUCUAUACAAUUGUAUUAAUCAACAUUACCCCUUUACAUGAUAUGACCCCAGCCAUUUUCCUUAUUUUAGGGCAUUUAGAUGCUUUUGAGGUUUCUAUUGCCAUCAAUAGUGCUGUGGGAAUUUCAAAGUGGGUGCUUUGUGUCAUCCACUCUUUUCCAGGAGUCUGUCACAGAACUGGACCGUGAAGAUCUGUUUCUAACUCUCUCUGCUCCUAUAAACUGACCUCUCCAAGAACAAAAAGGGUUGCCCAUGGCCCAGCCAUCAGAGGAGGCACUCAGUGAAUGUUGGUGGAAUGAAGGAAUGUGGUCAAAGAAAAGGAAAAUUAGCUGUACAGGGAAAAAAGAAAAACUUCAAUUGAAUUUGUAAAGCUGAGUCACUGUAAUGAAGGCAGAUUUUGCUGCGAAGCUAUAGACUCUUUCUCUGCUAAUGACAUUGCUCCAUGCAAUCACUUCUUUGCAUCCAAGAAUCUACCUACCCAUCAUUACACUUAGGUUUUAUAUUAUGGAGCACAAGUGAUGCAAUUCAAUUUCCCUGGAGUAAUCAUUAUGAUUGAGUUCAUAAACCUGGGGUUUGCCUUCAUUUUUCAACUAAAAUUAAAACCCAUUCUAAUCCUCAAGUGAUAGAUGGUGUCUUAGUUUGCUCUCGGUUGUUACAAGGAAAUACCUGAGGCCAGGUAAUUUAUAAAGUAUGGAAGUUUAUUUGGCUCACAGUUCUGGAGGCUGGAAAUCCAAGAGCAUGGAUCAGACAUCUGCUCGGCAUCUGGUGGGGACUUCAGUCCACAUUCCCACAUGGCAGAGCGCAGUGUGUAGGAGACAGAGUAGGUAUGCUAGCUCAGGUCUUCUGAUCUUAAAGGCCACUAACAUCCCACCCUUAUGAACUCAUCUAAUCCAUAUGACCUCCUCAGGGCUCACCUCCAUACACCAUUAACGUGUGAAUUUGGGGAUUAAGUUCCUGACAAAUGAACUUUUGGGGAACUCAUACAGCAGGCAGACAGGAAGCCCAAGCUAUAGAAGAUGGACAGGAAGUCCGAGCCUUGAGUGGUCCAAGGUCAGGGUUUCUAGGAUCUGGAGCGAAAGUCAGCCAACCUGCCCCGUACCUUGCCCUGGCUGGGUGAGUGGCACCUCCUUAAAGUUCUGACCCUGGGCAAUGCCCUUCUUCACAGAGGAACAAAGAAUGCAUGCCAGGUUGAAGCCCUUGCUUGUCAAAGGAGGGAAGCACUCUCCAGGGACUCCCAGCUGGAUUUUGUCAUCCAUGUGUAGUUUUCUUGGUGCUUUCUGACCAUUUGGGCCUUGUGUGCUUGCAAUUGGUGGUUUGCGCUGUCUCCAUCGAGGCCUCUCUGAUGUGAGGGAAGGAAGAACAUUGCUCUCCCCUCUAGGGAAAGGGGGAACCCCAACACCGGGAGCCUGGUGCGGCAUUUUCUCCAUUUCCACUGACCUGCUGGUAAGUGCGGGGCUGCUUCGGGAGUGGUGAAAAUGUCCUGGGGUUGUGUGGUGGUGGCGGUUGUGCAAUCUUGUGAAUAUAGUAAAAAAACGAACAAACAAAAAAACCCAACAUUGAAUUAUACACUUAAAAGGGUGAAUUUUAUGGUAUUUGAAUUAAAUUUCAGUUAAUUUUAAUGAAACUGAGAACAACAGACUUCUCAUUACUUCCCUCACCCUCUGCUGUCUGCUCUGCUGGUCCUGGGACCUGGAUUCUGUCACUGCUGAGGGGCCUCUCCCUGGGGCUGGACCCUGGCUGAGGCUCACCCCAGGAGCUGGCCAGGGGCCUGGCACAGGGAGCCCCUGGGAGUCCCUGGGCACGAAUGGCUGGAGGACCUGGGUAGGAAGGACGGCAGGGUGGGACCAGUGGCAGAGACCUGGGCCACCAGCAACCGGAAGUGGGAAUGUCAUCCUUCCUAACUGCAGGGGAGAAAACCAGGUGCAGAUUCAAAGGAAGAAGGGUGAGGUUUCUGUAUUCUGAUUUGGGUAGCUGGAAGAGAUCAUUCAAACAAUUUUAAGUGAAAGAACAGAAGUGUUUCACUUUAUAGUUGGGAUUCUGCUACAUCUACAUUUGAUUGUUUGUAAUCUUAGUUCAGAAUGAUCUUAGUUUUGUUAUCACUUUGACUGAGGAUCCCCCCUCCCACCCCAGUCUCCUGGGAUCAGAUGCGCAGUGGUCCACA